GAAGCUAAACCCCUAGGGAGC
rnacentral:snRNA from 1 species